AUUGAACGCUGGCGGCAGGCCUAACACAUGCAAGUCGAGCGGUAGCACAGGGAGCUUGCUCCUGGGUGACGAGCGGCGGACGGGUGAGUAAUGUCUGGGAAACUGCCUGAUGGAGGGGGAUAACUACUGGAAACGGUAGCUAAUACCGCAUAACGUCGCAAGACCAAAGAGGGGGACCUUCGGGCCUCUUGCCAUCAGAUGUGCCCAGAUGGGAUUAGCUAGUAGGUGGGGUAACGGCUCACCUAGGCGACGAUCCCUAGCUGGUCUGAGAGGAUGACCAGCCACACUGGAACUGAGACACGGUCCAGACUCCUACGGGAGGCAGCAGUGGGGAAUAUUGCACAAUGGGCGCAAGCCUGAUGCAGCCAUGCCGCGUGUAUGAAGAAGGCCUUCGGGUUGUAAAGUACUUUCAGCGGGAGGAAGGCGAUAAGGUUAAUAACCUUGUCGAUUGACGUUACCCGCAGAAGAAGCACCGGCUAACUCCGUGCCAGCCGCCGCCGUAA
rnacentral:rRNA from 1 species